UACGGCGGCCAUAGCGGAGGGAAACGCCCGGUCCCAUCCGACCCCGGAGCUAAGCCCUCACGCCGAUGGUAUGCCCUCGACACUUGGGGUGGGAGAGUAGGACACCGCCGAAC
rnacentral:rRNA from 1 species